rnacentral:lncRNA from 1 species
GCACUUUCUCUCCUUCCCUGGAUAUCUUCUUUCUCUCUCUAAAACCAAGACACAGUGACUACCGGCGGAUCAACGUCGCCGCCGCCUCUCCCUUCAUUCUCUGUUAUCUCUCUUCUAUCUCCUUCAACUACCAUACCCAUCCACCAUCGGUGGACCACCAAACCAUCCCCCUCGGUGAAGCCAGCCACCUACAACCACCACUGCUACCAUCCUCCCCGAUUUCUAACCAACACUGCUCUGAAAAGUAUCCGCCAUCGGCGACUCCCACUGGUGAAGCAUUCAUGCGAUAAAAAACCAGCCGUCGCCAGCCACUUCAGCCGACGGAACUAACAGUCGUCCUCUCACUCUUCAUGUCCUCGCCGGAGUUGAUGACCGA